UACGGAGGGUGCGAGCGUUGUCCGGAAUCACUGGGCGUAAAGGGUGCGUAGGCGGCCCUAUAAGUCAGUGGUGAAAUAUCGCAGCUUAACUGUGAGGGUGCCAUUGAUACUGUAGGGCUUGAGUGAAUUUGAGGUAGGCGGAAUUGACGGUGUAGCGGUGAAAUGCUUAGAUAUCGUCAAGAACACCGAUAGUGAAGACAGCUUACCAAGCUUCAACUGACGCUGAGGCACGAAAGUGUGGGGAUCAAACAGG
rnacentral:rRNA from 1 species